AGACGCUUUCUGGAUUGUGGUUUCGGCGACCGAGACGUCUUGAACGGAAAUGCCACUGGAAGCGUGCUUCCGUUUUUCUAAACCAUAAUUAUUCGGUCAGCCUUGCAGCGGUCAAACAAGCAGCCUUUACGUUUUCGUUGGUUUGCAAAUCUCACCCUUCCUUAACGGAUUCUGGACAAUAUAGCUCUUUCAGCUACCGGCAUACAAUUGGCAACUGAAGCAACAUCGAAGUGGAGAGACAUCUGCAUUAUCUAGAAGCUGUUCUAUAGUUAAGGAAAUGUCUUCUGGAUGUUUAACAGGUCAACCACAAGAAUUUCCAUCAGAUGCUGUUUUGCAAUGUCUAACAUGGGAACACAACAUGGGACCACAAUUCUGCAGCAGAGGGCCUGAUUUGAAUGUGAACUACAAUGCACACAGAGAUGGGGAUGAAACCAAGUUCCUGACUUUCUCCCAACCUGAAACUGUCCUAGAGAGCCACUACUGACCCAGAUGAGGGUGGCACAUAAACAAAUAUUAAACUGAAACAAAGUAAACAAUGUCAGGCAAUGGUAAGAGAUGUAGAGUUGCCAUUUGGGAGUCUGAAUGACUCAUUGUUCAGUGUUUUCCACCAAUUGAAUUUCAAAAUGCUAUUGAAAGGUAGUGCCAAGUUAUGAAAGCUUAAAUGACCACAUGAACUUUUUAGGCAGGUACUGGUUCCAACCAGUUUGCUCUGUUUAGCAAACAUAAGCAAUGUCACAAUGGUCAUUUCUAUAAAUAGCAUACGUAUAAACACAGCUAAUCUUUGCAUUGAAUUCCUUACCACCUGACAUUUUAACCUGCCCUGUUUUGUCACUAUUUGAAGAGCUGGUUUUUAUACUCUGCUUUUCUCUACUGUAAUAAGUCUCAAAGCAGUUUGGAAUC